AAUAAAAAAUAUAAUUUAUUAUAGAAUAUUAAAUGUUAAGUCAUUAAAUUUAUAAGAUUUGGCGGUAUUUUAUAAAAUUAGAGGAAUCUGUAAUUUAAUUGAUAUUCCACGAUAAGAUAAACUUAAUUUUAAUUAUUUAUGUAUUGCUGUUUAAAAAAUUUUAUUAAGUGUAAUUUUUAAAUUUAAAUUUUAAUUAAAUUCAAGUCAAAAUAUAGUUUAUUUAAGAUAUUUAUGGAUUACAAUUUUAAUUAAUAAUGAAUAAUUUAAUUUAAAUUAAAUUUAAAAUUGGAUUUAAUAGUAAAUUUAAUUAAUUAAUUAAUUUGAAUAUAAUUUAAAAUAUGU
rnacentral:rRNA from 1 species